ACGCCGUUGGUGAAAUGGUUAUCAUGCUUGCCUUCCAUGAGCAAGCGGCAAGGGUUCGAUUCCCUUACGGCGUA
rnacentral:tRNA from 1 species